rnacentral:RNase_P_RNA from 1 species
GAAGUUCGCCAGGCAGUCGCUGCAUGCUUUUGCAUGUGGAGGAAAGUCCGGGCCCCAUAGAGCAGGAUGCCGGCUAACGGCCGGGCGCAGCAAGCCGUCGCAAGAUGGCCCAAGGCGACAGACAGUGCAACAGAAAGAUACCGCCUGCCUGACUUUGACGCCGCAAGGCGGCAAAGUCUCUCUUAAAUGAGAAAGGCGCCGAUCGCGAGAUCGGGGUAGCGUGCUUGCACGAUGCCGGUAAGGGUGAAAUGGUGGCGCCUGACAAGGCGCCGUUCAUGCGCAAGCAUGAACGGGGUAAGAGCCCACCGCGUCCACGGUAACGGCGGACGGCAUGGCAAACCUCAUCCGGGGCAAGGCCAAAUAGGGAAGCAAUGACGUUGCUCGCGUCGCUUCCGGGUAGGCUGCUAGAGCCUGUCGGUAACGGCAGGCCCAGAGGAAUGACUGCUCACGACAGAACCCGGCUUAUCGGCGAACUUCCAAU